rnacentral:rRNA from 1 species
UACAGAGGUCUCAAGCGUUGUUCGGAUUCAUUGGGCGUAAAGGGUGCGUAGGUGGCGCUGUAAGUCAGGUGUGAAUUUCGGAGCUUAACUCCGAAACUGCAUUUGAUACUGCGGUGCUUGAGGACUGGAGAGGAGACUGGAAGUUUACGGUGUAGCAGUGAAAUGCGUAGAGAUCGUAAGGAAGACCAGUGGCGAAGGCGGGUCUCUGGACAGUUCCUGACACUGAGGCACGAAGGCCCAGGGGAGCAAACGGGA